GGGAACUGGCUGAAUCAAAGAUGAAAAGGAUCAGCUCCAAGUGAUGAGGAAAAACAAAAACAAGUCUCGAUUGUUUCAAUAUUUCCAGAGGAAAAUCAAAGGGUAAAGUCAAUGCAGGUAGGGUCAAUUUUGGGGACGACACGAAUUGAAGUAGGUUCGGAUUUUGCUGGGAUGUCGUUCCAGUGCCCACCAUCCCCCACGAUGACAAGAGCAAAACAUGAGCAUCUUAAAUAAAGAAAACGCCAGCUCUGCGGGGACAGUGCGCAGCCGUCCUUCUCCGCAGGCCACGCGGUGACCAGCUCUGAGCCGCGCACGCGGCGACUGCCGGACAGAGCGCCACUGACACGACGUGAGCGCGGUGCUGCCUUCCUUCCCAGCUCACCUCCAGCACUGCGACGUGGACGAAACACUGAGGGAAGCCCUGAGGGGAGCCCAAAGGAUGGAACCUCUCACACAAGAUGGAAUGUGCUCGCAUAAAACAACAUGAAGGGCUUCCCGGGUGGCGCGGUGGUUGAGAAUCCGCCUGCCAAUGCAGGGGACACGGGUUCGAGCCCUGGUCUGGGAAGAUCCCACAUGCCGCGGAGCAACUAGGCCCGUGAGCCACAGCUACUGAGCCUGCGCGUCUGGAGCCUGUGCUCCGCAACAAGAGAGGCCGCGACAGUGAGAGGCCCGCGCAUCGCGAUGAAGAGUGGCCCCCGCUCGCCGCAACGAGAGAAAGCCCUCGCACAGAAACGAAGACCCAACACAGUCAUAAAUAAAUAAAUAAAUUUAUAAAAAAAAAAAAAAAACAAAAACAUGAACACCUGGGGCAUAAAGCAGGGCUCAUUAUCCUAAAACGCCAAUAAUUCACAGUGACAGAAUAACAAAAUACAGCCACCCCAGUGCAGACCGCAGAGACGGUGUGCUAGUUGUUCAAAUGCUGUCUGUCAAGUGUAAAGCCAUCCUUUUAUAUUUGGCUCUGUGAUGCUGGGGCAGGGUCUAGGUUAGGCUCCACCAGCAGGGGGCAGGAGAGAGGGUGUGAGGCUCCCUGAGGGAGAAGAGACCGGUUCCUCCUGCUUGAGUCGCUCCCUGGGCAGAGGCACUUAUCCCAGUAGCAGCCAAUGACUUCAGCUGGCAGCUUUUCCAGCACUCCUAGAACCAGCUUUAUUGUGCCCACAGUGACACCUGGGCAGCUGGGACUCCCCUCAAAGAUCCUGAGGCAGGAGCACCAGCAGGGCCCCUUCCCAGAGGUCCCAGUUUGGCCCCUCGAGCCUUCCUCCAAGCUUCUACACUUUAGUGAUUUCAUCCUUUUCUCUUUGAUCCUCCAGCUCUAUCUAGAGGUAGUAGCUCUAGUAGCAACAAAGCCAUUGGUGCCUUAGGGUUCUUUUUCUGCCUUUAGAAUUCCCAAUAUCUGGCAUACACUUUCCAGUGCUAACCUCUCUCAUCUAAAAAAGCCAGGGUGAUUCCUACCACCUGAGUGGACCUUGAUGACAGAUGGGCUUCAGGCUGCCUCCCUCCUCAGAUAUGUGAACAUUGAAAUCUGUUACUGGUCUGAAUCUCAGGAAACAUUUUCCUAACAAACAUACUGGAAUUAGACUAAGGCAGACAUGUUUGAUACAUCUAGUCAGUUUAAAUUAUCACCAGUUUAAAGAACUCUGUUCUCAAUGUAUUAUGAUUUUCUGUUUGGGAGGUCCUAAGCCAAGAAAUCAUAAAAUUUUGGACACUUAAAGAUCAGCUAAUUGAAUUUCCUGUUAUAGAAGAAGAACGGACUCCAGAAAGCUGAGGUUAUUCACCAAAAUUCAUUAUUAGCAGUAAAGACUGGACUUGUGUACAGAUCUUUCAGCCAUACCACUUACAGAACCCCAGAAAAAUGUCUCAGUGGAAGAAAUGACAAUGAUAGUACCCUCAGGACAAUUUGAACAAAUUCUCUUGCUAAAGACUACCAGAAAAUCUGAAAAAGAGCAGAGAAUCAAAUGGAUAGAAUAUACAGAAGUGAGAAUUAGAAAGAGAAUAAUCCCAAGUAGAAAGUUGAGAUGCAGGAAGAAAGGAAAAACAAUAAGCAUGUUAAGUAUGUGGGUAAAUCUAAAGUAAAAUUGUACAAAACAAUACUGUUGAUGCUUUGUACUCUUUAAAAUAUGUAUGAAAUUACUAUUACCACUUCCUCCCCCAUGAAGAUGACAAAGAAGAAGA